rnacentral:lncRNA from 1 species
UGUCUUUCUGUGUGUGUCUGUGUAUGUAAUGGUGUGUCUCUGUGGCGGGGAGGGGCUGCGUGUGAUUGUGUGUCUGUGUGUGUCUUUCUGUGUAUGUGUGUGUAAUGGUGUGUUUCUGUGGCCGGAAGGGCGUAUCUGCGAUUGCGUGUCUGUGUAUGUAAUGGUGUGUCUCUGUGGCGGGGAGGGUGUGUGUGUGAUUUUGUGUCUGUGUCUUUCUGUGUGUGUCUGUGUAUGUAAUGGUGUCUCUGUGGCGGGGAGGGUGUGUGUGUGAUUUUGUGUCUGUGUGUGUCUUUCUGUGUGUGUCUGUGUAUGUAAUGGUGUCUCUGUGGUGGGGAGGGGGUGUGUGUGAUUUGAGGUGGGGACGGGGCCUAGGCUUCAGUUACUCACAACAGGACGGACAAAGGAAACAGAGUUUACCCGUUCUGCUAAAACCAAGGGCGGGAGGGGGACGGGGCUGCCGGCAGCCCUCCCAGAGCCCCUGGCAGCCGCUCACGGGUUCCGGACC